rnacentral:rRNA from 1 species
GGUGAACGCUGGCGGCGUGCUUGACACAUGCAAGUCGAACGGUAUGUGGCAACACAUAGAGUGGCGAACGGGUGAGUAACACGUGGGAACGUACCUUCUGCAGGGGGAUAACUGACCGAAAGGACAGCUAAUACCGCAUAAGACCGAGAGGAGAAAGGUGCAACAGCAUCGGCAGAGGAGCGACCCGCGGACCAUCAGCUAGUUGGUGGGGUAAGAGCCUACCAAGGCAACGACGGAUAGCCGGCGUGAGAGCGUGGCCGGCCACAAGGACACUGAGAUACGGGUCCUACUCCUACGGGAGGCAGCAGUGCGGAAUUUUAGAUAAUGGAGGCAACUCUGAUCUAGCGACGCCGCGUGCAGGAAGAAGGUCUUCGGAUUGUAAACUGCUGUGGUAGGGGAAAAAUGCCAUGUAGAGUGGAAAGCUACAUGGAGGGAUGGUACUUUACUAGAAAGCCCCGGCUAACUACGUGCCAGCAGCCGCGGUAAAGU